rnacentral:lncRNA from 1 species
CCUCCAAGACGCCACAGACCACUGUGACGGCACCCUGUACCCCGAUCUGUGCGCCUCCACACUCUCCACCAUUCCGGAUUUGCAUUCCAAGUCCCUCCCUGAGGUCAUCUGCGCCACCAUCAAUGCCAGCGAAGCCGCCGUUAUCAAGUCCGCCAAGAACUGUACCAAAUACCUCCACCACCACAACUACACCCUCGACACCCGCCAACGCUACGCCCUCACCGACUGUCUCGAUCUCUUUUCGCAAACUCUCGACGAGCUGCUCGACGCCACCUCCGACCUCACCGCCAACCCCGGCUCCCACGUCGACCAUGUCCAGACACUGCUCUCCGCCGCCAUCACCAACCAGUAUACCUGUCUUGACGGCUUCGCCUACGUCGGCAAAGAUGGCGGGUACCGUUCGGUCAUUGAACAGCCGCUCUACCACGUGUCCCACCUCGUCAGCAACUCCCUCGCCAUGAUGAAGAAGAUCCAGCGGCAGAAGCCGCCGCAUCCGCGAAGGGAGGCUUUGGAGGGGUAUGGGGAGGUGGCGGAGGGGUUCCCUGUGUGGGUGUCAGGCAAGGACCGGAGGCUGCUGCAGGCUGCGGCGAACACCACGACCCCGAACUUGAUCGUGGCCAAGGACGGGAGCGGCAACUUCACGACAAUAAGCGAGGCGGUGGCGGCGGCGCCGAGCAAAAGCGAGACGAGGUUCGUGAUAUAUAUAAAGGCGGGGGCAUACUUAGAGAAUGUGGAGGUGGGGAAGAGCCAGACGAACCUGAUGUUCAUGGGCGACGGCAUCGGGAAGACGGUGGUGAAGGCGAGCAGAAAUGUGGUCGA